AUGGCCAAACUAAAAAGUGACAAAGAAACACAACUUGAAGAUCUGACAGAAGCCUUGGAGAGGUCAGUAAAACUUCAAAAAGAUUUGGAGCAGCAGCUGCUGUGUGAACAAUCAGAAAAAAUGAUAUUAAUAAAAGAGAGAGAAAUUAAGGACUCUGACCACUCAGAGUUUAAGGAACAAGUUCAAAGACUUUUAUCUGAAAAGAAACAUCUUGAGAUCACUAUUGAGAAAUUACAAAAGAGAGAAAAAGAGAUGAAGGAUAUUCUUCAAAUCAGAGAGAAAGAAGUAUAUGAUUUGGAAGUACAGUUAACUGGUGCAGUUGAAAAUGAACAAAAUUGUUUAAAACAGAUUACAGCACUGAAUGCAGAGCUUGAAAAAGAGAUGUAUGAUUUUAUUUUUAAUUGUUAC
ensembl:lncRNA